rnacentral:rRNA from 1 species
UGGAUGCCUUGGCUCUCAAAGUCUAUGAAGGACGUGAUAAGCUGCGAUAAGCUACGGGGAGGAGCAAAUAUCCCUCGAUCCGUAGAUUUCCGAAUGGGGAAACCCGAUAUCUUGAAGAGAUAUCAUCCGAAAGGAAGAUAACCCGGAGAACUGAAACAUCUAAGUACCCGGAGGAAAAGAAAACAAUUUAGUUAUUCCCUUAGUAGUGGCG